CCGAAAAUGGACUUUUGCCCUUCGACGCCUGCAUAGCGUGGCUCGAAAGUGUCAAGUCCAUCAAGCCCUGGGUGGAGUGGAUCAGUCUGGACAACUACCAGCUUCAGUUCUACCAGAAGAAGAAGGAACUCCUAGACAGCGUGUUACAUCGCUGGACCUGCACCAACAUUGUCUACAUGUUGAUUGACCACCUGCUGCACAACGAGACACAAAUAGAGGAGAAACUCCUGAGGCUGGUGGUGAAGCAGUUCAUCUUCCUCUGGAACCGCCUCUACGCGAGCCAGCGAUUUGAGCCGGAGAAGACUUUUUGAUUUGGUGACAAAAGUGCUGAAGAAAUGCAACGAGAAUGCUGAUGUUGUGUAUCUGGUGAAAGGUGUGAAGGAAUGCAAGAGCUGCCUGCGGGAGAUCACAGACCCGGCCGAGCUGCCCUGCAGCCACAUCUUCUGCACUCGCUGCAUCCUGGAGUGGACGAACAAGCAGUGUAAGAUCUGCAAGGAGGAAUUCCCGGAGGAUUACACACCCAUGGCUUCAGAGGCCACAAGGUAUCCCGGCGCCGGCAAAAACCUGCCUGCAUCCAGUUCUUCGUGUUAAAUA
rnacentral:lncRNA from 1 species